rnacentral:rRNA from 1 species
GAUGAACGCUGACAGAAUGCUUAACACAUGCAAGUCAACUUGAACUUCGGUUUGGGUGGCGGACGGGUGAGUAACGCGUAAAGAACUUGCCUCACAGUUAGGGACAACAUUUGGAAACGAAUGCUAAUACCUGAUGUUAUGAUUUUAGGGCAUCCUAGAAUUAUGAAAGCUAUAUGCGCUGUGAGAGAGCUUUGCGUCCCAUUAGCUAGUUGGAGAGGUAACGGCUCACCAAGGCGAUGAUGGGUAGCCGGCCUGAGAGGGUGAACGGCCACAAGGGGACUGAGACACGGCCCUUACUCCUACGGGAGGCAGCAGUGGGGAAUAUUGGACAAUGGACCAAGAGUCUGAUCCAGCAAUUCUGUGUGCACGAUGAAGUUUUUCGGAAUGUAAAGUGCUUUCAGUUGGGAAGAAAAAAAUGACGGUACCAACAGAAGAAGUGACGGCUAAAUACGUG